UUCAUUAUGCUAAAUCCCCUAAACCUAACCAAACUCAUCCUCCCUGAAAUUCUCUUGAGGCUAAUAAAGAAGAAAAAGAGCUAAGGUUCCCCUCAACUAUUAAAUUCUCCAUUCUUUUUGGGAUUUUAGCAUCAAGCUAUGUUGAUAUUCACCUAUGGAGAUCUUUCCCCCAUGGGGUCCCCAAGGGUCCGACGUUCCUACCUUAUAGACUCGUGGAUAGACAUUGAUUGGGUGCUUCAAGUGGAUUGGGGUAUAAGCUGAAUUAAAUAAGUUUGCACUUUUAUCAAAAGAAUCAUGUUUUUGAGAGAAGAGAAAAGAAGAGCAGAAAGGAGAUGGGCGUUCAAGAAUCAUCAAGAUCGUCGAAGUUUAACUUGUGGAUUUCAUCCGGGUGAUCCCUAAAAAGUUUUCCAUCAAUUUUUCGGCCGUUUUUCGGCGAACAGAACAACUGCACAGGUGGCAGCAGACUUUUAAGUUUCGACGGGCAGCGAUUGGCGACCACCAAUCUACAUAAGAAAUUGAUCAUUCUAUCAACCGGGUGGGACAAAUGGUGAAAUAUGUUAGAUCAUCUUCUUCAAGGACAAGAAACUUCUUGAAAUGUGUUGAAAUGCAAAAGAUAGAAUGUGAUAAGAUGUUGUCUUUAGAUGUCCAUACUAGGUGGAAUUCCAUCUAUUUGAUGUUGGACACAGCAGAAAAGUUUGAGAAGGAUUUUGAGAGGUUUGAUCUUUAUGAUGGUAAUUUUAAUCUUUUUCUUGCGACUGAUGUUUGUGAAAAUGCAAGUAUCGCAGGUUCAAUUCAAUAUGAAGUUUGGGCUAAUGUGAGGAAUGUCACAAAGUUUCUUGAAAAAUUUUAUGAGCUCACUUUGAAAGUUUCAGGUUCACGGUGAUGAUCUUGAUUUGA